rnacentral:rRNA from 1 species
GUGGGGAAUAUUGGUCAAUGGGGGGAACCCUGAACCAGCCAAGUAGCGUGAGGGACGACGGCCCUACGGGUUGUAAACCUCUUUUGUGCGGGGGUAACGAGCGCCACGUGUGGCGCGUUGAAAGUACCGCACGAAUAAGCAUCGGCUAACUCCGUGCCAGCAGCCGCGGUAAUACGGAGGAUGCGAGCGUUAUCCGGAUUUAUUGGGUUUAAAGGGAGCGUAGGCGGGAGCUUAAGUCAGCGGUUAAAUGGUGCGGCUCAACCGUGCCCUGCCGUUGAAACUGGGUUUCUUGAGAGUGCAAGAGGCGGAUGGAAUUCAUGGUGUAGCGGUGAAAUGCUUAGAUAUCAUGAAGAACUCCGAUUGCGAAGGCAGUCCGCUGGGGCACGUCUGACGCUGAUGCUCGAAGGUGCGGGAAUCAAACAGG